rnacentral:sRNA from 1 species
AUGGCAACGAUCCCUUUGAAGAUGUAUCCAUCCCUGAUCUUGAAACUUGCCAGUGAUUGUUCUAGAGAUUUUCCGUUAAUUGAACUAGUUCUUGUUGUAUUUUUCGAUAGUAAGCCCAUUCUUCCUGUUGCAGCAGGGGUAGGAUGAGACUUUGGUAGGUGAUCCGCAAAAGCACUGGUUCUGUCCAUGAAACGGGCAAUGUGGCCUCGCUUCAUGCCAAACUGAGAAGAAAGCUGUACAGUGCUUAAGUUAAGGAGCUCAGACAGACAUUUCCCACUGGACUCGAGCCUAUCUCCGUAUUGCAUCAAAGCUCGGUCGUGCAGGUCGGUACAUCAUCCCAGCCUUCAUCUAACAGCUUUGGAAUCAGUCCUUUCGGAACCCCGUCCCCAACAAACUCCUCUAUCGAAAAAGAAGCCAUCUUCGAAGAAACCAGAGAAUGUUCCAAACGAAUCAGUGCUCGCUCAAUCGAGUCUGGAUGUAGAGAUGAAAACCCUAUUGCUGUUAGGCUCAGCUGCGCAAGAGUCGACAUAUAUAAA